rnacentral:rRNA from 1 species
CCAAUAGCGUAUAUUAAAGUUGUUGCAGUUAAAAAGCUCGUAGUUGAAUUUUAGGCCUGACCGGGCGGUCCGUCUCUGGCGAGUACUGUUCUGUUGUCGGGUCUAUCCUUCUGGUGAGCCGGUAUGUCCUUUAUUGGGUGUGUCGGGGCACCAGGACCAUUACCUUGAAAAAAUUAGAGUGUUUAAAGCGGGCUUUUGCUUGAAUAGAUUAGCAUGGAAUAAUAGAAUAGGACGUUGGUUCUAUUUUGUUGGUCUAGGACCACCGUAAUGAUUAAUAGGGAUAGUUGGGGGCAUUAGUAUUCAAUUGUCAGAGGUGAAAUUCUUGGAUUUAUUGAAGACUAACUACUGCGAAAGCAUUUGCCAAGGAUGUUUUCAUUAAUCAAGAACGAAAGUUAGGGGAUCGAAGACGAUCAGAUACCGUCGUAGUCUUAACCAUAAACUAUGCCGACUAGGAAUCGGGCGACGUUAUUUUCAUGACUCGCUCGGCGCCUUAUG